CAGCCUAGAAAAGGGGUGCGGAGGGUAGGGGGUCUAUCUGAAGAGAAAGCAUUACUCACAUCCCUCGUCCGCACACAAAUGCCCGCCCUUUCGCCAAACUUUUAUCGCCGGUGGAGCUUUAUAUCAAAUUAAUUUACGGGUAUGGCUGGCGACUACGAGACAAAAGCUACGCCAUGGCACCGCGGAGUGUUUGGAUGCUCACUUCCUGUUUCUUAUCGGACAGAAAAUUCAUGAGCAGAAGUUCCUUUUAGGGAUGACGGAGCUCAGUAUCUGGUUGGGCUAUAGAGUCUGUGGCCCCGUGUUGUAGCGGCAGCAGCCCUCAGCUCUGAAACGUCGAGCCGACAGAUGUGCCCACCCCCCCCCCACACCCCAACCCCGACGAACGGCAGCUGUUGCACGGCUGAGUGCCUUUUGAGGAACAUAUAGGCGCUGACGCCCCCCCCCCCCCAGGGGAGCGCAGGUGACCCAUGCUGAAUCAGAGGGGGGUCGUGUCUGUGCGUGUCUGCGUGUGCGUGAGGCUGCGCGUGCGCGGCGCCUUCCCGCCGUAUGGCGUGAAUCGCGGAAUUCGGAAUGCGGAAUUCGGUACGUGAACGCUCUGCUAAAAACUGUACCGAACUGAUGAAGUGAGGAGCGCGACAGUGUUCCCACGCCACGUCCCCUCCUCUUUCGCACGGACAACGAGAGAAUAUGCACCCAACAGACAGCGACAAACUGAGCCAGCGACUAACCGGACUGUCUGCCAGAAUAUUCGCGUACGAGACAGAUUUACAUCCCAGCGGCUCAGAUGUAAGACCGACACACAUUUACUAACGUGCAUUUGAGAGCCCAUUACUGAUCUGUGGAGUAUCCACGGUUUCUGUGCAAAAGCGCUCAGAGGAGUUUUGCUGAGAUGGACAGCAUUCAAGGUUGCAUUUGAGAUGCUGGAAAGCAUUUGAGCUUCAGCUCUGAGGAGUUCCUCUGGCUAUAGGAACCUGGCUUUUGGUGCCUCCUGCUUUGUGUUGGAUAUAAUGGAAAAAGAAAAAUAAACAAAUUGGCGUUGAAA